CAGACCAGCUGCUUCUCAGACAAUGUACCAACAACGACUUGUUCCAUUGUGGCAUAAAUGACCGCGACACGCAGACUCUUGUACACAGGGACAUCUCGAACAUGGUCUUGUGUUCAGUAUGAAUGCUACUCAGUGCCUCAGGUAGACCAAGGAGCCCUGAAUAUCCACAUGCCCAGCCGUGAUGAUCAGCUUCCUGCUUCCAGGAAACAGACCUUGAGAGACGAAGGUUUGCAUGCAAUUCCCCAGCCCCAGUGCCUUCAAGAGCAAAGCCUGUGGGGGCUCAGGACGGGAAGGAAGAUGGGCAGGACCAAGUGCCCGCUGGUCCCAUGGGAACACAAACUGAGACCCCUUCAGAGCUGCUCUGACUCGAGGCCUUUGAAUCCAAGCAUUGACCUGCUGUUGGAUACAGGUUGACCCAAACAGAGGACAAAUCCUUGGGCAAGGGGGUUCUUUGCAGCAUAGGGAGUCACCUCUCCAGCCCCUACUAAAGCGCCCACAGCUGACCGCUCUGCUCAGCCACAGCACAACGCGGUGAUGCGGCACAUGCUCCUGGUAUGACGGAUGUGGUUGAACUGACACUUCAGGAAGAAGAACAUUUUCAUCGAGGCAUGAGGAAUAUUAAUAAUCAUUCACAAGGCCGUGUUCCUCCAUCACAGGGCCUUUCUCCCUAGGAUGUGGAUUUGAUCUACUCUCGGCUUCUCUCUGAGCCCCCAGCGAAGUUCUGUGCCCUCGGCGCUUCUGUCUCAUGCAUUCAACUUGCAAUGACUCAUAUCGUGCGGUGCAAUCUUUUCUCCAACUUUUAUUCCAGAAGUAUAGCUUGCCUCAGCAGAUGACAAUGGGCAAUUUAGUCCUAUUCCAUCACUGACAGACAAUUUAAUUUGCUUUACCAAAACCCUUUUGUUUUACCUCUAAGUCUUUCUCGAUGACCUCCUCAGUAAUAAUUGUAUCUCUGUAGUCCCGAGACAUGCUUUGUUCCCGCCACAAAGACCAUGUAAAAAUAUGGAGGUUAGAGAUUCUUUUUGUCCUGUGGAAGGUCAGAUUCAACUACCUUAUUGGAACCAUCGAUAGCAUUUAUAAUCAGUAGAACUUCAUCCACGACAGUUAGAAAUACAAAUGGCUGCAAGGAAAGCAGAUACUUACUAUAAUCUAAUUGUAAUUUAUAAAGCGCCAAAAGCAAUUUUGAUAUAGUCACAACUUUUUAAAAGGAUAAAAACAAUUGCAAUCAGUUAAGCAGUCAUUCUCAAGGCAGCUUUAAAUCACGUUGAGGAGCUUAGACUGUGCGUCCUGACUCCCUGAAUUUGAAUCCUGGCUCUUUUCC